UACGUAGGCAGCGAGCGUUGUUCGGAGUUACUGGGCGUAAAGAGUGCGUAGGCGGUUUUCUAAGUUUGGUGUGAAAUCUCCCGGCUUAACUGGGAGGGUGCGCCGAAGACUGGAAGGCUUGAGUAUGGGAGAGGUAAGCGGAAUUCCUGGUGUAGCGGUGAAAUGCGUAGAUAUCGGGAGGAACACCUGUGGCGAAAGCGGCUCACUGGACCACAACUGACGCUGAGACGCGAAAGCGUGGGGAGCAAACAGG
rnacentral:rRNA from 1 species